GACGGAGGGUGCUAGCGUUGUUCGGAAUUACUGGGCGUAAAGGGCGCGUAGGCGGCCGUUUGCGUCGGAUGUGAAAGCCCGGGGCUCAACCCCGGAACGGCAUCCGAUACGGGACGGCUGGAGACCGGGAGAGGAGGGUGGAAUAGCCAGUGUAGAGGUGAAAUUCGUAGAUAUUGGCUGGAACACCGGUGGCGAAAGCGGCUCUCUGGCCCGGUUCUGACGCUGAAGCGCGAAAGCGUGGGGAGCAAACAGG
rnacentral:rRNA from 1 species